rnacentral:rRNA from 1 species
CGGCGGACGGGUGAGUAAUGCCUAGGAAUCUGCCUGGUAGUGGGGGACAACGUUUCGAAAGGAGCGCUAAUACCGCAUACGUCCUACGGGAGAAAGCAGGGGACCUUCGGGCCUUGCGCUAUCAGAUGAGCCUAGGUCGGAUUAGCUAGUUGGUGAGGUAAUGGCUCACCAAGGCGACGAUCCGUAACUGGUCUGAGAGGAUGAUCAGUCACACUGGAACUGAGACACGGUCCAGACUCCUACGGGAGGCAGCAGGA